rnacentral:rRNA from 1 species
AUUGAACGCUGGCGGCAGGCCUAACACAUGCAAGUCGAGCGAGCGGCGGACGGGUGAGUCAUGUCUGGUAAACUGCCUGAUGUAAGGGGAUAACUCCUGGCAACGGUGUCUAAUACCGCAUACCCUCAGAUGUGCCCAGCUGGGGUUAGCUAGUAGGGGGGGGAACGGCUCACCUAGGCGACGAUCCCUAGCUGGUCUGAGAGGCUGACCAGCCAAACUGGAACUGAGACACGGUCCAGACUCCGACGGGAGGCAGCAGUGGGGAAUAUUGCACAAUGGGCGCAAGCCUGAUGCAGCCAUGCCGCGUGUGUGAAGAAGGCCUUCGGGUUGUAAAGCACUGUCAGCGGGGAGGCGGUACCCGCAGAAGAAGCACCGGCUAACUCCGUGCCAGCAGCCGCGGUAAUAC